GAUGAACGCUGGCGGCGUGCCUAAUACAUGCAAGUCGAGCGAAUGGAUUAAGAGCUUGCUCUUAUGAAGUUAGCGGCGGACGGGUGAGUAACACGUGGGUAACCUGCCCAUAAGACUGGGAUAACUCCGGGAAACCGGGGCUAAUACCGGAUAACAUUUUGAACCGCAUGGUUCGAAAUUGAAAGGCGGCUUCGGCUGUCACUUAUGGAUGGACCCGCGUCGCAUUAGCUAGUUGGUGAGGUAACGGCUCACCAAGGCAACGAUGCGUAGCCGCACUGAGAGGGUGAUCGGCCAAACUGGGACUGAGAAACGGCCCAGACUCCUACGGGAGGUAGCAGGAGGGAAUCUUCCGCAAUGGACGAAAGUCUGACGGAGCAACGCCGCGUGAGUGAUGAAGGCUUUCGGGUCGUAAAACUCUGUUGUUAGGGAAGAACAAGUGCUAGUUGAAUAAGCUGGCACCUUGACGGUACCUAACCAGAAAGCCACAGCUAACUACGUGCCAGCCGCCGCCGUAA
rnacentral:rRNA from 1 species